UCCGGCCGCUACCCCUUGUCUUCCUCACCCCUGUUGAGAGCAAGGGCAGCGCCGCUCGCGCGCGUGGACAGGGGCCGGGUUGCCAGUGCGGAGCUCGUAGUGGUCGCCGAGCGCGCGAGUGCAUCGGGUCCGAAGCUAUCGUGGCUGCUUCUCCUCCGCCGCCGCCGCCGCCGUCCUCUCCUCCGCCGCCGCCGCCGUCCUCUCCUCCGCCGCUGCCCGCAACGCCCCCGCGCCCGAUCCAGACCGGGGGAAAAGAAAAGAGAGCGAAGGGGAAAAGAAAAGA
rnacentral:rRNA from 1 species